rnacentral:rRNA from 1 species
UACGAAGGGGGCUAGCGUUGUUCGGAGUUACUGGGCGUAAAGGGCGCGUAGGCGGUGCUGUAAGUCAGGCGUGAAAUCCCCGGGCUCAACCUGGGAAUUGCGUUUGAUACUGCGGCGCUGGAAUGCGGGAGAGGAUGGCGGAAUUCCCAGUGUAGAGGUGAAAUUCGUAGAUAUUGGGAAGAACACCGGUGGCGAAGGCGGCCAUCUGGCCCGUAAUUGACGCUGAGGCGCGAAAGCGUGGGGAGCAAACAGG